rnacentral:rRNA from 1 species
UCCCAGACUCCUACGGGAGGCAGCAGUGGGGGAUAUUGCACAAUGGGGGAAACCCUGAUGCAGCGACGCCGCGUGGGUGAAGAAGUAUUUCGGUAUGUAAAGCCCUAUCAGCAGGGAAGAACGAAGACGGUACCUGACUAAGAAGCCCCGGCUAACUACGUGCCAGCAGCCGCGGUAAUACGUAGGGGGCGAGCGUUAUCCGGAUUCACUGGGUGUAAAGGGAGCGUAGACGGCCGUGCAAGCCAGGAGUGAAAGCCCGGGGCCCAACCCCGGGACUGCUCUUGGAACUGUGCGGCUGGAGUGCGGGAGGGGCAGGCGGAAUUCCUGGUGUAGCGGUGAAAUGCGUAGAUAUUAGGAGGAACACCAGUGGCGAAGGCGGCUUACUGGACUGUAACUGACGUUGAGGCUCGAAAGCGUGGGGAGCAAACAGGAUUAGAUACCCGAGUA